GGGAAAGUGGCUCAGUGGUAGAGCACUUGCCUUGCAUGCAUGAGGUCCUGGGUUUGAUUUCUCAGUACCA
rnacentral:tRNA from 1 species